AAAAGCCAUGGUAUCUAUGUAUGGUCCAAUUACUCGGUAAGGUUCCGAGCCAGCAAAGCAAUGGCCAAGGAGAUGGCCUUGUUAGCCUUCAACCGGGAUCUUAAGCUCUCUAAACAUGCCAAGCAGCAGCAGAUCCGAAAUGGUUUUGAAGAAUGGACAAGUUUCAUAAUCAAUUUUGUCAUCUUAAUCUGAUUCACGAGUAUCAUCAAGCCAACCACAGGACAGGGUGGUCUUAUUUGCGCAUGGCCAAACAGUUGCAGGCUUGCAGGGAUGUUGCUGGACAACAGUAGGCUCUUGCGUUCAAUCCAUGUACCCUAUGCUGGUGCAGAGGAAACCAGUUGGCUCUUGCGUUCAAUCUGUGUGCCUGCUGCUGGUACAGAGUACAUGAGAAGGUGGUCUUACUUGCGUAUUGCCAAACAGUUGCAAUUGUGAGAAAGUUCCAGGGAUGGUGGAGGACAACAGUUGGCUGUUGCUUUCAAUUCGUGUGCUCCCUACUGGUGCAGAGCAAGAAUGUUAAAUUUCAUGUAUCUCUUGGUGGUCCACUUUGUCGGCUUUAGGAGGCGAAUGCUUCUACUGCUGUUGCCAGUCUAUCAAAAGAGAAGGACGAGAUGUUGGCCUCAUGUAGAUUUUUUGACGACAGUGCAGGCAAUGAAGUUCUUUACAUUGCUGCAAAGACUGAACGUGGUGGGAGUAUUUUAAAAUGCAAUACAAAAUCAUGGAAACGAAGAGAUUAAAAGCCUAUAAAAAUAACUCUACAUCAACCUUCAAUGUCUCAGCUGCUUGUGAUUGGGACCCUUGUAGGAGAUGUUAUGAUACUUGACAUACAUCAGCGAGUUCGUGUUCUUCUAAAUCCUCUGCUUCACCAUCUUGUGGAUCGGAGGACCUUGUCUUGUCCAUGGUGUUUCUCUUCAACUACUCCCAUCUUUCUAGAUUAUGACGACCAAAUAAAGGGAGACCAUCAUAAAGACUAGAGAUAAUGUGCAACUUCCAUGAAACCUAAAGAGUUCUGUGAUUUAGUGCAGAUCUCGACAGCUCCAGCUUUGCCUGCACCAAAAAGAAGUACACCACAUCUGCCAGAAUUUUCAGGUAAAUACCCUUCAUCUGCGAGUAUCAAAACUUGAUAACAUAACAGACUCAUAGCUUAAUCUUCAAACAAUGGCAAGGGCUAACCAACAUGCAUAAGUAUCUUCAUAGCUUCCUCGUAAGUCUCUAAUCAGAAUAAUGAUUGGAGGCGUCACUUUACUGAACCAAGGAGCCUUGUGGCCCUGUGCUCCAAAAAAACUCUUGCAGAACUUGUAAUAGGAACUCGAGAAGGCACCAAAAUUCAAAGCAAAACCUUUGAACAAAAAGUUCAUCUUCAGACUCGACUAAACAAAGAGAAGCAGCAGUUCAACUUCAAAAGUUCCUUCCUUGCAUACACCCUAAUAUUGUUUCUAUAGUUUACGUUGAAAUUAUGAUUUAAGGCCCAUGAAGGAACUAAAACGUAAAUGAUUUUUGUACCCAUUUCUAAAUUGGGCCCAUAAUUUAUUUCUUAAUAAGCGAAUUAAGCACACGCGCUUCAGAACAAAAACCCCGGAGGUUGAUCAACGGCGAUUUCGUCUCUCUCGCCGAUGUCGUCCGCAGAGAAGAGGAGGAAGAAGAAGAAGGCGAAGCCGUCGCCUAUACUCUCGCAAUCGACUACUCCAAAUCCUUCACUUCCCGAUGAUUUAAGACCUUUCUCUCUAGUUUUUCAAUACACAACACAUGUGCUAUUAAUUGGGAUCUCUUCUUCCACAGUUCGACUUGGUUCCCCUUUGGUACAUGCUGGUUAUUCUGUUUUAGUCUAAAACAUUUACAUGGUAGCAAAAGAAACCAUACAAAGACCACUUGCCAUAAUUUAUAGCUGAUGUUUAUGUGAGUUGGAAAUGCUCAUUUAGAUUGGCUGUUCUUAUCUUUAGCGAAGUUAGCUACCUGGACAGUUGGGUCUUUAGUACCUAUCUGAUGUUCUUUUUUGUUUUGCCAUUGGCUCCUUUUGCAAUAUGCAUAGGGUGAUCAAGAAUCACCUGGGAUGAUAGUAUGAUACCGCUAGCAAUAGAAGACGUUUUCACUAUCAUCCAGGAUGUCAAGUGGUCUUAACGGGACUCCACGAAAGGACUUCCUGCUUCGUGUUUCAUAUCUUGAUAUAUACAAUGACGUAAGUGGAACGUUUUAUCCUUGAUAUAUACAUACUAAUCCCUGAAAAGUAGAUAUUUUAGGCUGGGGUAUGUUUUCUUGUUCUUCUGCCUUAUCUUUGAGAACUAAAAUGCUUAACAAUAUAAAGAAUUGGCGGAGACUACUCAUGAUCUUCUUUUUUUUAAAGUGUGCUUCUAUGUUUCGGCUGUCUGCAGUUUAUUUGAUGACCGUCUUUGUAUCAGGUGAUAAAUUAUUUAAUUUAUCCAACAUGCCAUAAUUUACGUGUUAGAGAGGAUUCCCAGGUUCGCUUCAACCUCUAUAGGGUGUUUAGCUUUCUCCAUUUUCUCUCACACACCCACAAUCAUUGUGCUCUGCAUAAAAUAAACGUGAUGAAUUACCUAUGAAUUACAUAUGAACUUGAACUUGAUGAACUACCUAUAAAAUAAACGUGAUGAAUUACAUAUGAACUUGAACUUGAUGAACUACCUAUAAAAUAAACGUGAUGAAUUAUAUAUGAACUUGAUAUCAUUUGAAAAAAGAUAAUGGUUCAUAUUGCAUUUUUCUUUUCUUUCUAGGGCACUUAUGUGGAGGGUAUCAAGGAAGAAGUUGUUUUGUCUCCUGGCCAUGCACUAUCAUUUAUUGCAGCUGGAGAAGAACAUCGCCGUGUUGGUUCAGAUAAUUUCAACUUGUAGAACAGCAGAAGCCACACUAUAUUUACACUGGUACGGCUUCAAUCUCCAGGAGCUCGUCAUAAUGUGGUUGAAAGUAGAACCUAAAUGGCGGAAGAGGCGAUACUAGGAUUCUUGCAGAACAAUGAACAGAUCACUGAUUCGGGUCACUUGUCUGCGGUAUUCAACCUUGACUACAACUAAGUCGUCAGCGUCACCAAUGGGUCUCCCCGAGGAUGUUCGAGUAAUUGCUUGGGGUCUUUCUCGUGAAAGACCAACAAUGAUAUUAUACGAUAUCGAGAACAUCCGAGAUUUGUUUGGACACAAGGUAAACCACGAGAUCUUUACUUCUUCUGACUUCUUUGUAUAAACAUUCCCUUGUUCGAUUGCCAUAUAUACUCAAUAUGUGUUUCAUUAUACUCAAAUUCGUGUAUCAUUCUUCUCAUUAAACGGAAUCCAAUCUGCCGAAUUGGAAUCUGAGUGGUAAUCUCUUUUUAUUCAA